rnacentral:rRNA from 1 species
AAACCAGCACCUCAAGUGGUCAGGAUGAUUAUUGGGCCUAAAGCAUCCGUAGCCUGCUCUGUAAGUUUUCGGUUAAAUCUGUACGCUCAACGUACAGGCUGUCGGGAAUACUGCAGAGCUAGGGAGUGGGAGAGGUAGACGGUACUCGGGAGGAAGUGGUAAAAUGCUUUGAUCUCUCGAUGACCACCUGUGGCGAAGGCGGUCUACCAGAACACGCCCGACGGUGAGGGAUGAAAGCUGGGGGAGCAAACCGGAUUAGAAACCCCGGUAGUCC